UUAAGCGACUAAGCGUACACGGUGGAUGCCCUGGCAGUCAGAGGCGAUGAAGGACGUGCUAAUCUGCGAAAAGCGUCGGUAAGGUGAUAUGAACCGUUACAGCCGGCGAUGUCCGAAUGGGGAAACCCAGUGCAAUUCGUUGCACUAUCGUUUGAUGAAUACAUAGUCAAACGAGGCGAACCGGGGGAACUGAAACAUCUAAGUACCCCGAGGAAAAGAAAUCAACCGAGAUUCCCCCAGUAGCGGCGAGCGAACGGGGAGCAGCCCGGAGUCUGAAUCAGCUUGUGUGUUAGUGGAAGCGUCUGGAAAGUCGCAGGGUACAGGGUGAUACUCCCGUACACUAAAACGCACAGGCUGUGAACUCGAAGAGUAGGGCGGGACACGUGGUAUCCUGUCUGAAUAUGGGGGGACCAUCCUCCAAGGCUAAAUACUCCUGACUGACCGAUAGUGAACCAGUACCGUGAGGGAAAGGCGAAAAGAACCCCGGCGAGGGGAGUGAAAAAGAACCUGAAACCGUGUACGUACAAGCAGUAGGAGCCCCACCACCAAAGCGUUUCGCUUUGCGUGGUGCGCAAAAUGCGUAACGACAGCAUGAUGGACGGUUAACGGAGCGUCAGCGACGUUCAACCUCAAAAAUCAGGCAGUGGAGCGUUUUGGGGUGGGGUGACUGCGUACCUUUUGUAUAAUGGGUCAGCGACUUAUAUUCUGUAGCAAGGUUAACCGAAUAGGGGAGCCGCAGGGAAACCGAGUCUUAACUGGGCGUUAAGUUGCAGGGUAUAGACCCGAAACCCGGUGAUCUAGCCAUGGGCAGGUUGAAGGUUGGGUAACACUAACUGGAGGACCGAACCGACUAAUGUUGAAAAAUUAGCGGAUGACUUGUGGCUGGGGGUGAAAGGCCAAUCAAACCGGGAGAUAGCUGGUUCUCCCCGAAAGCUAUUUAGGUAGCGCCUCGUGAACUCAUCUUCGGGGGUAGAGCACUGUUUCGGCUAGGGGGUCAUCCCGACUUACCAACCCGAUGCAAACUACGAAUACCGAAGAAUGUUAUCACGGGAGACACACGGCGGGUGCUAACGUCCGUCGUGAAGAGGGAAACAACCCAGACCGCCAGCUAAGGUCCCAAAGUCAUGGUUAAGUGGGAAACGAUGUGGGAAGGCCCAGACAGCCAGGAUGUUGGCUUAGAAGCAGCCAUCAUUUAAAGAAAGCGUAAUAGCUCACUGGUCGAGUCGGCCUGCGCGGAAGAUGUAACGGGGCUAAACCAUGCACCGAAGCUGCGGCAGCGACACUAUGUGUUGUUGGGUAGGGGAGCGUUCUGUAAGCCGUUGAAGGUGGCCUGUGAGGGUUGCUGGAGGUAUCAGAAGUGCGAAUGCUGACAUAAGUAACGAUAAUGCGGGUGAAAAACCCGCACGCCGGAAGACCAAGGGUUCCUGUCCAACGUUAAUCGGGGCAGGGUGAGUCGACCCCUAAGGCGAGGCCGAAAGGCGUAGUCGAUGGGAAACAGGUUAAUAUUCCUGUACUUGGUGUUACUGCGAAGGGGGGACGGAGAAGGCUAUGUUGGCCGGGCGACGGUUGUCCCGGUUUAAGCAUGUAGGCGGAUGUUCCAGGUAAAUCCGGAACGUCAUUAACGCUGAGGUGUGAUGACGAGGCACUACGGUGCUGAAGUGACAAAUGCCCUGCUUCCAGGAAAAGCCUCUAAGCAUCAGGUAACAUCAAAUCGUACCCCAAACCGACACAGGUGGUCAGGUAGAGAAUACCAAGGCGCUUGAGAGAACUCGGGUGAAGGAACUAGGCAAAAUGGUGCCGUAACUUCGGGAGAAGGCACGCUGAUGGUAGGUGAAGCGACUUGCUCGUGGAGCUGAAAUCAGUCGAAGAUACCAGCUGGCUGCAACUGUUUAUUAAAAACACAGCACUGUGCAAACACGAAAGUGGACGUAUACGGUGUGACGCCUGCCCGGUGCCGGAAGGUUAAUUGAUGGGGUUAUCCGUAAGGAGAAGCUCUUGAUCGAAGCCCCGGUAAACGGCGGCCGUAACUAUAACGGUCCUAAGGUAGCGAAAUUCCUUGUCGGGUAAGUUCCGACCUGCACGAAUGGCGUAAUGAUGGCCAGGCUGUCUCCACCCGAGACUCAGUGAAAUUGAACUCGCUGUGAAGAUGCAGUGUACCCGCGGCAAGACGGAAAGACCCCGUGAACCUUUACUAUAGCUUGACACUGAACACUGGUCCUUGAUGUGUAGGAUAGGUGGGAGGCUUUGAAGUGUGGACGCCAGUCUGCAUGGAGCCAUCCUUGAAAUACCACCCUUUAAUGGCUGGUGUUCUAACGUGGGCCCCUAAUCGGGGUUGCGGACAGUGUCUGGUGGGUAGUUUGACUGGGGCGGUCUCCUCCUAAAGAGUAACGGAGGAGCACGAAGGUCAGCUAAUCCUGGUCGGACAUCAGGAGGUUAGUGCAAUGGCAUAAGCUGGCUUGACUGCGAGCGUGACGGCGCGAGCAGGUGCGAAAGCAGGUCAUAGUGAUCCGGUGGUUCUGAAUGGAAGGGCCAUCGCUCAACGGAUAAAAGGUACUCCGGGGAUAACAGGCUGAUACCGCCCAAGAGUUCAUAUCGACGGCGGUGUUUGGCACCUCGAUGUCGGCUCAUCACAUCCUGGGGCUGAAGUAGGUCCCAAGGGUAUGGCUGUUCGCCAUUUAAAGUGGUACGCGAGCUGGGUUUAGAACGUCGUGAGACAGUUCGGUCCCUAUCUGCCGUGGGCGCUGGAGAAUUGAGGGGGGCUGCUCCUAGUACGAGAGGACCGGAGUGGACGCAUCACUGGUGUUCGGGUUGUCAUGCCAAUGGCAUUGCCCGGUAGCUAAAUGCGGAAGAGAUAAGUGCUGAAAGCAUCUAAGCACGAAACUUGCCCCGAGAUGAGUUCUCCCUGACCCUUUAAGGGUCCUGAAGGAACGUUGAAGACGACGACGUUGAUAGGCCGGGUGUGUAAGCGCAGCGAUGCGUUGAGCUAACCGGUACUAAUGAACCGUGAGGCUUAACCUU
rnacentral:rRNA from 1 species